GACGAACGCUGGCGGCGUGCCUAAUACAUGCAAGUCGAACGAAACUUUCUUACACCGAAUGCUUGCAUUCACCGUAAGAAGUUGAGUGGCGGACGGGUGAGUAACACGUGGGUAACCUGCCUAAAAGAAGGGGAUAACACUUGGAAACAGGUGCUAAUACCGUAUAUCUCUAAGGAUCGCAUGAUCCUUAGAUGAAAGAUGGUUCUGCUAUCGCUUUUAGAUGGACCCGCGGCGUAUUAACUAGUUGGUGGGGUAACGGCCUACCAAGGUGAUGAUACGUAGCCGAACUGAGAGGUUGAUCGGCCACAUUGGGACUGAGACACGGCCCAAACUCCUACGGGAGGCAGCAGUAGGGAAUCUUCCACAAUGGACGCAAGUCUGAUGGAGCAACGCCGCGUGAGUGAAGAAGGUCUUCGGAUCGUAAAACUCUGUUGUUAGAGAAGAACACGAGUGAGAGUAACUGUUCAUUCGAUGACGGUAUCUAACCAGCAAGUCACGGCUAACUACGUGCCAGCAGCCGCGGUAAUACGUAGGUGGCAAGCGUUGUCCGGAUUUAUUGGGCGUAAAGGGAACGCAGGCGGUCUUUUAAGUCUGAUGUGAAAGCCUUCGGCUUAACCGGAGUAGUGCAUUGGAAACUGGAAGACUUGAGUGCAGAAGAGGAGAGUGGAACUCCAUGUGUAGCGGUGAAAUGCGUAGAUAUAUGGAAGAACACCAGUGGCGAAAGCGGCUCUCUGGUCUGUAACUGACGCUGAGGUUCGAAAGCGUGGGUAGCAAACAGGAU
rnacentral:rRNA from 1 species